rnacentral:rRNA from 1 species
CCCUUUCUUAGGGUUUGAUCCUGGCUCAGGACGAACGCUGGCGGCGUGCUUAACACAUGCAAGUCGAACGGAAAGGCCCUGCUUUUGUGGGGUGCUCGAGUGGCGAACGGGUGAGUAACACGUGAGUAACCUGCCCUUGACUUUGGGAUAACUUCAGGAAACUGGGGCUAAUACCGGAUAGGAGCUCCUGCUGCAUGGUGGGGGUUGGAAAGUUUCGGCGGUUGGGGAUGGACUCGCGGCUUAUCAGCUUGUUGGUGGGGUAGUGGCUUACCAAGGCUUUGACGGGUAGCCGGCCUGAGAGGGUGACCGGCCACAUUGGGACUGAGAUACGGCCCAGACUCCUACGGGAGGCAGCAGUGGGGAAUAUUGCACAAUGGGCGGAAGCCUGAUGCAGCAACGCCGCGUGCGGGAUGACGGCCUUCGGGUUGUAAACCGCUUUCGCCUGUGACGAAGCGUGAGUGACGGUAAUGGGUAAAGAAGCACCGGCUAACUACGUGCCAGCAGCCGCGGUGAUACGUAGGGUGCGAGCGUUGUCCGGAUUUAUUGGGCGUAAAGGGCUCGUAGGUGGUUGAUCGCGUCGGAAGUGUAAUCUUGGGGCUUAACCCUGAGCGUGCUUUCGAUACGGGUUGACUUGAGGAAGGUAGGGGAGAAUGGAAUUCCUGGUGGAGCGGUGGAAUGCGCAGAUAUCAGGAGGAACACCAGUGGCGAAGGCGGUUCUCUGGGCCUUUCCUGACGCUGAGGAGCGAAAGCGUGGGGAGCGAACAGGCUUAGAUACCCUGGUAGUCCACGCUGUAAACGGUGGGUACUAGGUGUGGGGUCCAUUCCACGGGUUCCGUGCC